GCCAAAAAUCUAGCUCUAAUUUUACAAAUAAAAUAUUCACCCUAAAUUUUUUAAUUAAAACAUUUUAACAACCUAGUAAAGGAGAUUAAAAAGUUAAUUAAAGCUAUAUCAUAAGUACCGCAAGGGAAAGAUGAAAUAAAAAUGAAAUAAAUUUUAAGCACAAAAUAGUAAAGAUUAACUCUUGUACCUUUUGCAUCAUGGUUUAACUAGUCUGAUCAAGCAAAAAGACUUAAAGUUUGACCCCCCGAAACUAAGCGAGCUACUUCAGGGCAGCUUAACGAGCAAACCCGUCCCUGUUGCAAAAGAGUGGGAAGACCCUUAAGUAGAAGUGACAGACCUAUCGAGCUUAGUGAUAGCUGGUUACUCAAAAAAAGAAUUUAAGUUCAACCUAAAAUUUUAAUCAAUAUUAAUAAAUAUGACAUUUAUUUUAGAAUAAUUCAAAUAAGGUACAGCCUAUUUGAAACAGGAUACAACCUAUAUCAACGGGUAACUAAUUAUAUUUAUAUUAAUCAAGUAGGCCUAAAAGCAGCCAUCUUUUAAACAGCGUCACAGCUUCAUUAUGUUAAAAUCAAAUCCCCACAUAUUUAUGUAACCCUUCACCAACAUUGAGUAAUUCUAUGCUUACAUAGAAAUUCUUAUGUUAAAACUAGUAACAAGAAGACGAACUUCUCCUUAAUAUGAGUAUCAAUCAGUCGGACCCGCCACUGAUAAUUAACACCCCAUCUUAAAGUAGCACCAAAACAAGAAAACCCUACUCCAUCACAUGUUAAUCUAACACAAGCACAUUACAAGAAAGAUUUAAAGAUAAAGAAGGAACUCGGCAAACAUUAACCCCGCCUGUUUACCAAAAACAUCGCCUUUUGAACCCCANNNNAGGUCCAGCCUGCCCAGUGACUCUGUUCAACGGCCGCGGUAUCCUAACCGUGCAAAGGUAGCGUAAUCACUUGUUCUUUAAAUGAGGACUAGUAUGAAUGGCACCACGAGGGUUAUACUGUCUCCUCUCUCUAAUCAGUGAAACUAAUCUCCCCGUGAAGAAGCGGGGAUCUACAUAUAAGACGAGAAGACCCUAUGGAGCUUUAAACUUUCAACAACUGCCCAAAUAAUCUUAAUUUCAGAAAACAAACCUUAAUUCAGCACUUUGAUUUUUAAGUUUUCGAUUGGGGUGAUCACGGAGCAAAACCUAACCUCCGCACUGAAAGGCCCCAAGCCUUAUCUAAGAAUCACAACUCUAUGCACCAACAAUUUGACAUCUAUUGACCCAAUAUAUUGAUCAAUGAACCAAGUUACCCUAGGGAUAACAGCGCAAUCCACUUCAAGAGCCCCUAUCGACAAGUGGGUUUACGACCUCGAUGUUGGAUCAGGGUCCCCCAGUGGUGCAGCCGCUACUAAAGGUUCGUUUGUUCAACGAUUAAAACCCU
rnacentral:rRNA from 1 species